rnacentral:rRNA from 1 species
GACGAACGCUGGCGGCGUGCCUAAUACAUGCAAGUAGGACGCACAGUUUAUACCGUAGCUUGCUACACCAUAGACUGUGAGUUGCGAACGGGUGAGUAACGCGUAGGUAACCUGCCUGGUAGCGGGGGAUAACUAUUGGAAACGAUAGCUAAUACCGCAUAAUAUUAAUUAUUGCAUGAUAAUUGAUUGAAAGAUGCAACUGCAUCACUACCAGAUGGACCUGCGUUGUAUUAGCUAGUAGGUGAGGUAACGGCUCACCUAGGCGACGAUACAUAGCCGACCUGAGAGGGUGAUCGGCCACACUGGGACUGAGACACGGCCCAGACUCCUACGGGAGGCAGCAGUAGGGAAUCUUCGGCAAUGGACGAAAGUCUGACCGAGCAACGCCGCGUGAGUGAAGAAGGUUUUCGGAUCGUAAAGCUCUGUUGUAAGAGAAGAACGGGUGUGAGAGUGGAAAGUUCACACUGUGACGGUAUCUUACCAGAAAGGGACGGCUAACUACGUG